GCCAAGCACAGUGGCACAUGCCUGUAGUCCCAGCUACUCAGGAGGCUGAGACUGGAGGAUCACUUCAGUCCAGGAGUUCUGGGCUGUAGUGCACUAUGCCGAUCAGGUGUCCACACUAAGUUCAGCUUUAAUUUGGUGACCUCCCGGGAGCAGGGGGCCACCAGGUUGCCUAAGGAGGGGUGAACCAGCCCAGGUGGGAAACAGAGCAGGUCAGAGCUCCCGUAUGAUCAGUAGUGGGAUCGCACCUGUGAAGAGCCACUGCACUCCAGCCUGGGCAACAUAGUGAGACCCUGUCUCUA
rfam:Otolemur garnettii contig062166, whole genome shotgun sequence.